rnacentral:rRNA from 1 species
GAUGAACGCUGGCGGCGUGCCUAAUACAUGCAAGUCGAGCGAACAGAUGAGGAUCUUGCUCCUCUGACGUUAGCGGCGGACGGGUGAGUAACACGUGGAUAACCUACCUAUAAGACUGGGAUAACUUCGGGAAACCGGAGCUAAUACCGGAUAAUAUAUUGAACCGCAUGGUUCAAUAGUGAAAGACGGUUUUGCUUUCACUUAUAGAUGGAUCCGCGCCGCAUUAGCUAGUUGGUAAGGUAACGGCUUACCAAGGCAACGAUGCGUAGCCGACCUGAGAGGGUGGUCGGCCACACUGGAACUGAGACACGGUCCAGACUCCUACGGGAGGCAGCAGUAGGGAAUCUUCCGCAAUGGGCGAAAGCCUGACGGAGCAACGCCGCGUGAGUGAUGAAGGUCUUCGGAUCGUAAAACUCUGUUAUUAGGGAAGUACAAAUGUGUAAGUAACUAUGCACGUCUUGACGGUACCUAAUCAGAAAGCCACGGCUAACUACGUG